ACGAACGCUGGCGGCAUGCCUAACACAUGCAAGUCGAACGGGAUCCGGACUUCGGUCGGUGAGAGUGGCGGACGGGUGAGUAACGCGUGGGAACCUGCCCAAUGGUCUGGGAUAACCGCGGGAAACUGCGGCUAAUACCGGAUAAGCCCGAGAGGGGAAAGAUUUAUCGCCGAUGGAGGGGCCCGCGUCCGAUUAGGUAGUUGGUGAGGUAACGGCUCACCAAGCCGACGAUCGGUAGCUGGUCUGAGAGGAUGAUCAGCCACACUGGGACUGAGAUACGGCCCAGACUCCUACGGGAGGCAGCAGUGGGGAAUAUUGGGCAAUGGGGGCAACCCUGAUCCAGCAAUGCCGCGUGAGUGAUGAAGGCCUUAGGGUUGUAAAGCUCUUUUGGCGGGGACGAUGAUGACGGUACCCGCAGAAUAGCCCCGGCUAACUUCGUGCCAGCAGCCGCGGUAAUACGAAGGGGGCGAGCGUUGUUCGGAAUUACUGGGCGUAAGGGCGCGUAGGCGGCGAUCCAAGUCAGAUGUGAAAGUCCUGGGCUUAACCUGGGGACUGCAUUUGAUACUGGGUUGCUUGAAUUCGGGAGAGGAUAGCGGAAUUCCCAGUGUAGAGGUGAAAUUCGUAGAUAUUGGGAAGAACACCGGUGGCGAAGGCGGCUAUCUGGACCGACAUUGACGCUGAGGCGCGAAAGCGUGGGGAGCAAACAGGAUUAGAUACCCUGGUAGUCCACGCCGUAAACGGUGAAUGCUAGACGCUGGGGAGCAUGCUCUUCGGUGUCGCAGCUAACGCAUUAAGCAUUCCGCCUGGGGAGUACGGUCGCAAGAUUAAAACUCAAGGAAUUGACGGGGGCCCGCACAAGCGGUGGAGCAUGUGGUUUAAUUCGAAGCAACGCGCAGAACCUUACCAACCCUUGACAUGGGAAGUAUGGGCUUCAGAGAUGAGGUCCUUCAGUUCGGCUGGCUUCCACACAGGUGCUGCAUGGCUGUCGUCAGCUCGUGUCGUGUAGAUGUUGGGUUAAGUCCCGCAACGAGCGCAACCCUCAUCUUCAGUUGCCAUCAUUUGGUUGGGCACUCUGAAGAAACUGCCGGUGACAAGCCGGAGGAAGGCGGGGAUGACGUCAAGUCCUCAUGGCCCUUACGGGUUGGGCUACACACGUGCUACAAUGGCGUGUGACAAUGGGGAGCAAAGGCGCGAGCCCGAGCCGAUCUCAAAAAGCCGUCUCAGUUCGGAUUGCACUCUGCAACUCGGGUGCAUGAAGUUGGAAUCGCUAGUAAUCGCGCAUCAGCACGGCGCGAUGAAUACGUUCCCGGGCCUUGUACGCACCGCCCGUCACACCAUGGGAGUUGGUUCUACCCGAAGCCGGUGCGCUAACCGCAAGGAAGCAGCCGACCACGGUAGGGUCAGCGACUGGGGUG
rnacentral:rRNA from 1 species